GAUGAACGCUGGCGGCGUGCCUAAUACAUGCAAGUCGAGCGAACAGACGAGGAGCUUGCUCCUCUGACGUUAGCGGCGGACGGGUGAGUAACACGUGGAUAACCUACCUAUAAGACUGGGAUAACUUCGGGAAACCGGAGCUAAUACCGGAUAAUAUAUUGAACCGCAUGGUUCAAUAGUGAAAGACGGUUUUGCUGUCACUUAUAGAUGGAUCCGCGCCGCAUUAGCUAGUUGGUAAGGUAACGGCUUACCAAGGCAACGAUGCGUAGCCGACCUGAGAGGGUGAUCGGCCACACUGGAACAGAGACACGGUCCAAACUCCUACGGGAGGCAGCAGUAGGGAGUCUUCCGCAAUGAGCGAAAGCCUGACGGAGCAACGCCGCGUGAGUGAUGAAGGUCUUCGGAUCGUAAAACUCUGUUAUUAGGGAAGAACAAAUGUGUAAGUAACUAUGCACGUCUUGACGGUACCUAAUCAGAAAGCCACGGCUAACUACGUG
rnacentral:rRNA from 1 species